rnacentral:rRNA from 1 species
GACGAACGCUGGCGGCGUGCCUAAUACAUGCAAGUAGAACGCUGAAGGAGGAGCUUGCUUCUCUGGAUGAGUUGCGAACGGGUGAGUAACGCGUAGGUAACCUGCCUGGUAGCGGGGGAUAACUAUUGGAAACGAUAGCUAAUACCGCAUAAGAGUAGAUGUUGCAUGACAUUUGCUUAAAAGGUGCAAUUGCAUCACUACCAGAUGGACCUGCGUUGUAUUAGCUAGUUGGUGGGGUAACGGCUCACCAAGGCGACGAUACAUAGCCGACCUGACAGGGGGAUCGGCCACACUGGGACGGAGACACGGCCCAGACUCCUACGGGAGGCAGCAGUAGGGAAUCUUCGGCAAUGGACGGAAGUCUGACCGAGCAACGCCGCGUGAGUGAAGAAGGUUUUCGGAUCGUAAAGCUCGGUUGUAAGAGAAGAACGAGUGUGAGAGUGGAAAGUUCACACUGUGACGGUAUCUUACCAGAAAGGGACGGCUAACUACGUG